rnacentral:miRNA from 1 species
UUUGUGUGUGCAUGUGCAUGUGUGUAUGUAUGUAUAUAAAAACACAUGCACACACAUAAAAAAUUGGA